UCCGGCAUAGACCGGUAAGCGUAGUCCGCCGCUUCCGUGCCGCCCGCACGGGUCCCGCGGACCCGGGGCGGCCGGUGCCGACCCGGUCGCCGGAGC
rnacentral:tRNA from 1 species